rnacentral:misc_RNA from 1 species
GUGAAUCAUCAAAUCUUUGAACGCACAUUGCACUCUCUUCGGAGAGUAUGCCUGUUUGAGGGUCAGUAUUAAUAAAAAUCGGUGUGUUGCUUCUUUGUUACGCUCCGGAGUUUGGGUCAUCUUAAUAUCCUUUAUGUUUUAAGAGGCUUAAAAUUGUCUUUUUUUUAGCAUUAUAGAUGUACAUUACUUGUUUUUUUAUUCGUCUGUCUGAAUGCUCAAAAUCCUAUUACAUGCGACC